rnacentral:lncRNA from 1 species
GAGGCGGGUGGAUCAUGAGGUCAGGAGAUCAAGACCAUCCUGGCUUAACAUGGUGAAACCCUGUCUCUACCAAAAAUACAAAAAAUUAGCCGGUCGUUGUGGUGGGUGCUUGUAGUCCUAGCUACUUGGGAGGCUGGGGCAGGAGAAUACAGUGAACCCAGGAGGCGGAGGUUACAGUGAGUCGAGAUCGCACCACUGCACUCCAGCCUGGGCGAUUUCCUUCCUUCCUUCCUUCUUCCUUUCUCUUUCUUUCUUUUUUAAAAAAUAGUAUUUAGUUUUCCAAACUAAGACCAAGAACUCUUGCUCUAUAUAAUUAUUUACUAUUUCCUCCAUUUAAGGUUAUAUAGUUUUUCUUUGAAAAAAUUUUGUCAUUAUCAAGUUAAAUUAAUACAUCUGUAUUUUAUGUUCUUAUUACUAUUACAACUGGUGUCUCUUAUUUUCUAUCUGUGUAAAAGAAUAUACUAUAUAUUUGUGGGUUUAUCUUAUAUCUAACAAACUUGAAUCAGCAGAAUUAUUUUCUAUGAUAAUUUUAAGUUUGUUUUCUAUUACUUUUAAAAAUAUGUCAUUUAUAGGGGAUUGAUAUUGUUAUUUAUUUUCUGUAUUUUUACCUUUCUUUUAUUCUUUAAAAGUUAUUAUGAGUAUUGCAAUAGUAUGUUAAAUAGGCAUGAUGGUAGAUAAUGCUUUAGUCCUCUUCUUAUAAUAAUAAGAAAAAAAGGUUCCUUGUUAAGUCUAAUUAUAGUACUUGGUUUUAGGUACCUAUGAUUUAUAUGAAUAAAGAUACUGAGUCAUAUUUUGAGAUGGAACCAGAAAUAAAUAUAAAAUUUUAUUAUAUUCUAAUGAGAAGAUUUUAUAUAUCAUCAGUAUUUUUCCUAUUAGUAUGAUAAUUUAUCCACUUGUUAUUAUCAUUCUUGCAUUCCAGGGAUGAAUUGAAUUUGAUCAUUAAAGAGGCAGUGUAGUUUAAUGAAAAGGAUCAGUGGUUUAGGUGUCUUGUCACUACCGUUCACUAGCUGUGUAAUCUUAGAAAAGGCACCUAAUUUCUCAGGUUUUCUUAUUCAGAAACUGAGGGAAUAGAGAGGAUGAAAAUUCUUUCCCACUCUUAAAUAAUUUUAAAAAUUGUUAAGCACCAUUUAUGACAAUGUUUCUAUGGGAAAAUACACUGAGUUCCAGCUUUGAAUA